rnacentral:rRNA from 1 species
UACGGAGGGUGCAAGCGUUAUCCGGAUUCACUGGGUUUAAAGGGUGCGUAGGUGGGAAGGUAAGUCAGUGGUGAAAUCCCCCGAGCUUAACUUGGGAACUGCCAUUGAUACUAUCUUUCUUGAAUACCUUGGAGGUGAGCGGAAUAUGUCAUGUAGCGGUGAAAUGCUUAGAUAUGACAUAGAACACCAAUUGCGAAGGCAGCUCACUACACGGUCAUUGACACUGAGGCACGAAAGCGUGGGGAUCAAACAGG